rnacentral:rRNA from 1 species
UGAAUAAGCAUCGGCUAACUCCGUGCCAGCAGCCGCGGUAAUACGGAGGAUGCGAGCGUUAUCCGGAUUCAUUGGGUUUAAAGGGUGCGCAGGCGGACUAAUAAGUCAGUGGUGAAAUCCCAUAGCUCAACUAUGGAACUGCCAUUGAUACUGUUAGACUAGAGUAUAAUUGACGUAGGCGGAAUGCGACAUGUAGCGGUGAAAUGCUUAGAUAUGUCGCAGAACACCGAUUGCGAAGGCAGCUUACGAAACUAUAACUGACGCUCAUGCACGAAAGCGUGGGGAUCAAACAGGAUUAGAUACCCUGGUAGUCCACGCCCUAAACGAUGAUUACUCGUUGUUGGCCUGCACAGGUCAGUGGCUAAGGGAAACCGAUAAGUAAUCCACCUGGGGAGUACGAUCGCAAGGUUGAAACUCAAAGGAAUUGACGGGGGCCCGCACAAGCGGAGGAGCAUGUGGUUUAAUUCGAUGAUACGCGAGGAACCUUACCUGGGCUCGAACGUGAGAGGAAUAUAGAGGAAACUUUAUAGCUAGCAAUAGUCUCUUACGAGGUGCUGCAUGGUUGUCGUCAGCUCGUGCCGUGAGGUGUCAGGUUAAGUCCUAUAACGAGCGCAACCCCUACUUCUAGUUGCCAGCAUGUCAUGAUGGGGACUCUAGAGGAACUGCCGGCGCAAGCCGUGAGGAAGGUGGGGAUGACGUCAAAUCAGCACGGCCCUUAUGUCCAGGGCGACACACGUGCUACAAUGGUCGAUACAGAGGGCAGCUACCUGGUGACAGGAUGCAAAUCUCAAAAGUCGAUCUCAGUUCGGAUCGGAGUCUGAAACUCGACUCCGUGAAGUUGGAUUCGCUAGUAAUCGCGCAUCAGCCAUGGCGCGGUGAAUACGUUCCCGGGCCUUGCACACACCGCCCGU